GUUAAAUGUAAAUGUUAAAUCUAUAUCUAAAUGUUAAAUGUUACAUCUAAAUGUUAAAUCUAAAUCUAAAUGUUAAAUGUUAAAUCUAAAUGUUAAAUGUUAAAUCUAAACGUUAACUCUAAAUGUGUCGCCAAGUGUAAAGCUAAAUAUUUAGAAAAUAUUCAAAUCCCCAAUGAAACCACGCCCGCUUCAAAUCGCGCGGCAAAGAUCGAGCGGCAAAGUCAAAGACAAAGACAAAGACAAAGUCAAGCAGGCAUGGCCGGUUCUCUCGGAGUCCAGGACAUCGAACGGGUGGUUAUUGCAGCUGUACGGGCUGCACUCCAGGGUGUAGCUCCCCCGGUCCAGUCCACAUCAGCAACGGUUUCAACACCAGCGGUGCCCAGUGCCUCAGGCACUUCCAACUUUGCCACCACCGUCACAUCACUGAGAUCAGCUCCUCUGCCAUCCAUCCCGCUACGUAAUCGGGCUCAAUCGGGAUACUUGAGACGAAGGAAUGUCAAAACAUACACGUAGGAUGUUGUAUGUUUAACUUUUUCACCGGGGGUAUCGGUCUUCAUUAUACCCAGAGGAGAAACUCGGACCAGGUUAGCUACGGCUGGCCUUGUUGGAAAAAAUAUUUUUCCACAGAAUGGUCUGAAGACCAAGUGAGAGCUGAAAUAACAGCUAUCUUCAGUGGAGCAUUUGGCUUAUCAGAGCACCAGUCACUUCCAUUUCAGUUUUUGAGCACCAUCAAGGGGUGUAAAAAACUGAUGAUACCGAAGGUCACCUCCAAUUUCCCCUGGGGUGGUAAAGAAGUUGCCUCCGUCUGUUCCAGCACAUGCCUGUAUAUUAUGGCAGAAAUGGAAGUUCCUGCACAGAACUGUAGUGUGGAGCUGUCUGAUGACAGUGAUUUUGAAAGCCCGGUUGUACAACGAAGGAGAGUCCUAUUGAUAUUGAAGAAGAUGAAGCCAUUGAGGAGGCCAUCAGACGCAGUCUUUUAGAAGAGUCUGUGCAGCCCUCACAGGAUUCAAGGUUUGCAGAAAGUUUGAGCAUAGAAGAAAUUACAGGAAUUGUGAAAGCUCACAGUGAGAGGGUUGUCACAGAAGCAUACAGACCAAUCUACAUCAGCCGAGGGAACGUGUGGACAACUGCCCUCCGACAGUUUAGUAGACGGAAAUUCACUGAGUGCACCGAUCUGCUGUAUGUCACCUUUGCCAGUGACGAAGGCACCAACGAAGAUGGAGAAGACCUCGGAGGGCCACGGCGAGAAUUCCUCCGUCUGCUUGUUAAAGCCAUCUUCAAAGAGAGUGGAGCAUUUGAAGAGUCUCUAAAUGGCUUCACUCCAAGAAUGAACAUUUCUCAUGUGCAGAAUGGAGUGUACCGCACUAUUGGACAGAUGAUGUCUACCAUCAUCGUCCAGGGUGGUGAACCUCCAGCCCUCCUUUCUCCUCUGGUAGUGGACUACCUUCUGACAGGACACAUCUUUCAGUUGAAGGUCACUCCAGAUGAUGUAGCUGACAUGGAACUGAGAGAAGCCCUGAAGAAGGUUGAUCAAGCAUUAACCACAGAGGAGCUGGAGCAAGCAGUGGAAUGCUGUGACUCAUGGAGAUACCAACUCGAAGGUCUUCCGAACCCAGUCAGCAUGGACAACAAAGAUGCAUUUGUGCAGAAUGCAAUACUUUUCCAUGUCGUCAUUCAACGACAGAGCUGCUAUGAUC
ensembl:lncRNA